UAUGCAACAUUCGUGACCUAUUUUUGAUGGUUAGCCUAGAGACUUGUCUCUGUAGCAGGGAAAAUAAUUUCAGGCCACAAAUCUCAGGUGUCCAAAACAUAAGUUUUAAAUUUCUGUGUCUCGAGUCCCAUUCCACCUAGUAGCAGAAAACACAAUUUCACCAACUCAGGAUAAACUCAGUCACUUCAGGGUUACUUCCUUAACCCACUUUCCCUGGCAUGGCCUCUAUGCCUAGGGGACUAGUAGAGUUUUGAGGCAUCAGGAGUUGGCCACGGAGGUACCUGCACAAGCUGUCAUUUCCUGAAAUGCCCAUCCUUUUUUGGGCCUCAGCAAUUACAAUUCAUAGUAGCUCCAUCAAGGGCAUCUUCCUGUCCCAGUUAAGAGGCCAGAUCCAAGAGUCACACCUGUACCACUCUCAGCCACAGGAGAGAACAGCAGCUUGCCUCAGUUUGGCUGCCCAAGCAACCAGGUGAUCUGCAAAUAUUUCUGAAGCACCCUCAACCCAGGUACUGGGGAGGGCAGUGCACAGGUCUGACCGUCUCUGCCCUCCAAGAUUAUAGUCUAUAGGGAGGACCCAGCUCAUAGGCACAAGAACAAAAUAAAUAAGAAGGGGUGAUGUGGGAUACUGUAAAGGGAGCCACAGGUGGGAAAGGUCUGUCAGAGACAUGAUAUUUGACUUGAAACAGAAUGAUGCGAGGGAAGCAACCACACAAAAAUCUGGAGGAAUGGAUUUUCAGGGGGAAGAAACAGAAGCACAAAGUCUCCAAAAUAGAGAUGAUUUGGCCUUUUUGAUGGAGUGAAAAAGGAUAGUAUAGCUGGAGUGUAGAGAAGGAAGAGAGAUUGGAGAGAAUUGCAGGAGAGAGGUGGCCAUAGUGACAUCAGCUAUGAAAAACUUUGGAAACAGGCAAAAAUGAUUGCUUGGGUGUCCUAGCUUUGGCGUCCCUCUGGUUCAUCUUUCAUUGUCUAUAAACUAUUUGGCAAUACUGUCAGGAUGUGGAAUACUGAUAACAGUUCAAGUGAUUCCUGCCUGUAGAAAAGCAAACUGUGUCCAGCAGGGAGGCUGGUGAUUGUUCCCCUGUAGAUAUUGACCAGUUUGGCAACUAUAUUUAUUUUCAGCAUUCUUGGUGGUCUAUGUAUGUGUGGGUUUUUUUUGAAUCCUCCUCUGAACUAGUCGUAAUAUCUUAUUAGUUCCCUCAUUAUAGUGACAUGUUCAUUUUAUACUUGCGUAAGAGUCAAGAUUUCACCUUUUAUAAAUAAGUAUCUCUUGGAAACCUUAACCUCCUUUCUUGUCUUCCUUCCCUGAUGGCUUUCUCUUAUUCUCUUGUUCUGAACAAAUCGUAUGUCUUGGAGUAAGUCAGAAGCAGAUGGCACCCUCCUCUGUGCAGAGAGAACACAGUGAAGACUUACCCUUGGUUCGCUCACCUCUGUCCUGGUUUGCUCACACAGGAGGGAGAGGAGAACCCCAAUGGGGUUCUUUAGGAAAUGCACUGAAGUAGUUUUGGGAAUGGGAAGUGGUCUAUUCCCAGAGAUAUAAAUGUCCUACAGUGCCCAAAAUAGUCCCCCAAAAGGAAUAUAUCCAAGCACCCCCAGGGAGUAACAUUGCCCUUGGGUGACAUUGAUCUACAGAAUGUUGCUCUUGUAUGUGGGGGCCUUAAUGACUGCCCCCAAGAAUCCUGCUGGGACUCAGACAACCAUUGAUUUCAUUUACCAAAUCACUAAAUAGAAGCCAGUUUUAUGGUCAUAUUUCCCCUCUGGCAUGCAGAAAUGUUUAUGGCCUUCAAUAAAGACUGCUCUCUAUUGAGAACUGAGUUGAGUAUAUAUUGUUUUAAACUUCAGCAUCCUCCAAUAAGAUUUAUAUUCUUGUUUUGCUUAAGAUUCACAUUUUAAUGUGGCAAUAAAAACUAGUGAGAUUGUUUCAUUGUAAAGGAUCCUAUUUAGUUAAUUAUCAGGCCCCAUGCCACAAAUCACUGUAUUGGGCUUCUUGUACCAGGGAAGGCUGUUAUUUCUCCCUCUCCUCACAUGAGUCACGUGAGCCUAAGUUGUGCUGAUGAGAAGAGCUGAGGUUAGAGAUGGUGGGAAGAGAAGAGAGGAAAGAGAUAACAUUCCUGUACUGUGAACCCCUCCAAAAAGCCACCAUGCAUGCAUUAAUUCAGGAGGCAGUGUCCAGAUGCUGGGGUCAGAUCUUGAAUCCCAGCUCUGUGACCUCAGGCACAUUAUUUACUGUCUCUGAAUUUCUAGUCCCAAAUAGGUUAUAAUGAUGCUAUAUUAACCUCCUGCCUGUGUUUUGAAAAUUAAAUUAGGUAACGGAUUUAAGGAAGCUGGCACCAAGAAAAGCAGGGAGAAAGUGUUGGAUCUUUCUUUAGUAGAGGCUGACAUCCUUGAAUAUGCAUCCAGCAUAAUGUGCCUGAUGUUUGCCAGGAGUCACCAGAACUGCAGACAAGUAUCCAGAUAACUGGGAGUAGACAAGAAGGCAUCAGGAGGUUAGGGAUUCAGGUGAGAAUUUGAGCAGCGAGGAGCGAUGUCUUGGGCAAGGGUCACGGCCAAAUAAGGUCAGAAGCAACACAUACCAAGAAGGGUGAUGGCACACAAGUGAAGUGCAAGAGUGGGGCUCGUUAUUAAACUGGUUAACUCCUGGGGGAUUUCUGGACCAAGAGCAUAAAGCCCAGAGACUGCAGGUAGUUGACAGUGGGCUGCUUCACUUGAGAAGGAAAGUGGGCUAGGUGGGGUCCAGGACCACCAGGUGAAGGCAAAUCAGAUAAGUCCUUCUGCAAGGCCCUUCGGCUGAAAGCAAGCUCCUCUUCCCUUGGACAGACUUAAGUUUCCUACCUUCCCCACCCACAGGGCAACGAGGUAGUAUUGAGAGCAGUCCUGACAAUCCAGGAUGGAAGCUGUGAUCAAUCAAUGGCUCAAACAUCAGUUCAGGGUGAGCUUUUCUGCCCUGACAAUGAUCUGGAUAGCCUCAGAGAUUUCAGAUGGAUUUUUCUCUCUGAUGUCAGCUCUGAACAAUCAGUAAUGGCUGCCUGGAACGCUGUCUUGAGAAAUGGCUUGAAGGCCACAUUUGGGAAGAAUGCUGUGAUUGAUUAUUUAUGUCUGCCAAGGGCUUAGAAAUGAUGAGUGAGGUAUACUUGCUACCUUUUAGCUGGAAGUAGCACAGCCAAUUCCCCCUGGCUUACAGCUGGAGCAUGCCUGUAAGAUGUUGGUGGAGGAGCUUACUCAUUCAUGUAUUCAUGUAUUCAGCAUUUCCAGAACAGCCUCCAUGGAGACAGCACUACUGCACUGGAGAGAGAAAGGGUGCCAUAGGAAAAAGUUCCAAGGAAUCUCCAAGCUAUUUUACAGACCCAAUAAUGCUUUGGCACUUCAUUUAGAUUCAAAUCAGCAAACAACCCCCAGGAAGUAAAAAUUAUUAUCAUCCCAAAUUUGCAGACUAGAAAACUGAGUCUUAUCUCCAUUUUGGUAAUACUUGCUUUAAUAAUCCCUGCUAUAAUAAUUGUCACGUCCUCAAAUGCACAGUCUUGCACAUCCUUCACUGAAGGCCUAGAAAAGGAUGAGAUAAUGCAAGUACAAAAUCAUUUGCCCUCUUUAUCAUUUAACAGCAACCCUCCUGACACAUUGGCCAGCCCUCAGCCGAGCUCUGAGUGUUUCCUAAACUGAAGGAAUGCGUGUUCGGUGAAUUGGCCCAUAUUUUAUCUCCCUACAAAAUAGCUAUUUAAAUAUCCCUCGAGUAUGCACUUUCUGAAUCAUUAAGGUCUCAGGGUGCAUCAAUUACACUAAUUUGGGAAAGUGAUCACAUUCAUGCAGGGCUGUUAUUUUUAAAGAAAAGACAUUUCAGUGUAUUGAUGGGGAAUCGGUGUCCGGAGUAUAUAGAUUUCCAGUUAUCCCCUGUCAUGGCAAGAGUCCAUCGGUUUCCUUUAAGAAAUGAAGAACACAUUAUGCCUGGUAUUAACAAAGAUCAAUUUCAGUAAAGGAAGACAUCCAACACAAGGGAGUUAAACAGAGCUGGGAAUAAAUGACGUAAUGUUUGAAGCGAUAAGGGAUAAGUCAUGCUGGGACUCCAAGUUCUUGUAUAAGUGAUGAUUAAAUGGACUUUUUGUCCCUGCCUUUUGCUAAAGGUGAUAUUUCUUUACUGUAAAGUAUAAUGUAUCUAUUUUGGCAUCGUCAGUGAAGUAUGCAGUUAAUAAUUGGGCUUCUUAAAGAUUUCAGAAUUCUUUGGUCUUAACAUGAAGGGAGGGCCUUAUCUUUACUGCUAACUCAUUUCUGUUCUUCAAACCGAAGCGACACUCUUUUAUGAGAAUUUGGCUUUGGGUGUUAUCUUUCAAGAAAACAGUAUUCCAAACUUCAAUACAGUGAAUAGAGUCAAACAGACACCAUGAGAAUAAUACGGGAGAUUUGGGAAAUAGAGUAAAGAUAAACUCUCUGCCGAGAUGUGAGAUGCAAUGAAAGAAAAGGAAAUGAUGAGGUGAAUAGGAACAACACUGGUGCAGGAUUUCUCUCAGCGUCUCUUAAAAAAAAAAUGACAACGGCAACUAAACCAGACUUUUUCUUUUGGGGUCCAUGAAAGCUAUUUAACAAUUUAAGUCUAUUCAUAUGUUUAAAGCUGGAAGAGACCUCAGAUAUUUCAAGAUGAGAAAGCCCAGGGAGGUAGUGUGACUUACAGAGGAUCAUAGUGUCCCUUUCUCCUGGCUGGUAGCCAUUUCUUGGUAGCUAAAUUUUCAUUUUUAAGAGGAAAAUUCCUUUAAAACAAAACAAAACAUUGUCCCAAUUUUUUGAAUUCUGUUUUUGAUGGUGGUAUUGACUUUUGAACAUGCACCAGAAAAUGAGCACUUUGAUUGGAUGCCAGGAAUGUUAACUUGGAACUAAGCAGAAUGCUGAGAUUCUGAUUCCGUGUUGCUUGAGGACUGGCACUUGUGACAUCUCUAGCUCAGACACAGGGUCAUGGAGGAGACAAGAUCUAACCAGGAGAAAAGAACAAAGAACCUCAUCUAAAAAAAAAAGAAAAUGUCCAUUUCAUCAUUUUUUCCAGGCUAACCUCUAGCAGAUGGCUUGGCUUUAUGUUCACUGAGAAGGACAGCAGUAAAGCAGUUCCUAAACUAUCUCCAAGUUUCAUGGAGUCUGAAUGACCUGAACUGGGAAGGCCAGAGGGAAGUUCAGACAAGUGUAGCCUGAGCCAGAGGGAAGACAAGCCAAACCAUAGCAGAGAAUGGGAAACCAAAAGGAUAGUCAAGUACCUACCAGAAUCUUAUUUAGGGACAGAAGAGGAAGAAGAGAGCUGGAGGAAAAAGGAAGGAGGGAUGAAAGAAUGUGACACUCACAAGAGGGAUGAAGAACAAAGGCUCUGGAGGGGUCUAUUUGAUGCAUUUCCUUGGCCCGUCCAUCUGUGUUUCCUGUCUGGGGUAUGUUUUCAGGCCUCUGAGGAUACAUUUCACCCUGGAAGUGGACACAAACAAUCAGAGUUCAAGUCAAAUCAGUCAACCGACGUUGAUUGACCACCUACUAUGUUCCCAGAUGUGGUGGGUUCUGAGGAUGCAGGGAUGAACAAGACACAAUCCCUGCUUCAAGGACUUGCACACAGUUGAUGGACAAGGAAGGAGGCCACUGAGUGAAAGGGGAGAGUGCAGAUCCAUUCUACAUAUACCCACCUCUGCUUUGGAAGCAGAACUGAAGCGUGCUGCUGUGAAUUUUAUAAACAGUUCGCCAAGGUGUACACGGUUGUCACCUAUGGACCUUGUGCUGACAUAAAUUGGGGCUCUACACGUGGCAUCUUUCACUUCAGUGUAGUGUGAAAUAUGCCCUGUUGGGACAUUGAUGGAAUACAGUACCCGAUUUUAACUAAACUAACUCUCAGAAAAUGAACACUUGGCUUUAAAAGUUUCCUGCCAAGAAAUAGCAGUUGGAAGAUUUAUGCGGACAGACAAUGUGGAAAUGGCCCAGCUGACCAUGAGCCCAGCACGUAAAUGGGCUCUGGGUCAGCCAUGCUGUGAGGUGCAGCAGUGGUGAUCUGAUCACUUCUGACAAGACGUCAGCCAAAUGAAAAACAUGGAAACGAUGAUUCUUUGAAAUACAUGUUUACAUCCACUGUCAUUAAUCUGCCUCAAAUGUUAGGCUGCAUGUGAGUAGGAAGUCACCAUGAGUAGCAGAAUGUCCAAAAAGUAAGCAUUCAGAAUGAAGACACAAACUUCUAAAAUAGCGUUGGCAUUAUUUUAGGUUGGGUGUCGCCCAAUCCACUAUUUUUUUUAAAUGUCAGUGUACAACAAUUAAGAAGCAUCUUUAAGGAUUUCUUAGAAGAAGCAAAAGAUCAUGCAUAUUUUUUCUGUGUUCUUCCUUCUAUGGUAAAAAUGGCUGAAACAGAUGUGGAAAAGAAUAUGGUCACAAACUAGAAUGGAUUCCUUGAUCAGCAAAUAGUAUUUAAAGAUGCAUAGAAAACAUGGUUGAAGGUUAGAAGAAAUGUGUACAGACAAAUUAUACUGAGUGGGAGGUUUGUUGUGCUUUGGGGUGAAAGUACAGAUGUCUGAGUUAAUGGUAUUACUAGGUUAUUUUUCAAUAAUGAACUUUGUAAGAACAAAGUGUGUGUGUGUGUGUGUGUGUGUGUGAGAGAGAGAGAGAGAGAGAGAGAGAGAGAGAGAGAGAGAG